rnacentral:lncRNA from 1 species
UACUGUUCUCUAAAUGCCUGGGAAGCUCCAUUUAGAUGCCAGGCAUUGCUGCGGUGACUCUACCACUGACUCUGUUUAUAGCUUUCAUCAAAGGGAUUCUGAUCCUCUGUGCCAGUGCAAGCCUUUCAGACGAAGCCUUGCUCUGUCGCCCAGGCUGCAAUGCAGUGGCACAAUCUCGGUUCUAUGCAAUCUCUGCCUCCUGGGUUCAAACUAGUCUCCUGCUUCAGCCUCCUGAGUAGCUGGGAUUAUAGGCGCCCGCCAUCACGCCCGGAUAAUUUUUGGAUUUUUAGUAGAGACGGGGUUUCACCAUGUUGGCCAGGCUGGUCUCGAUCUCCUGACCACAGGUGAUCCACCCGCCUUGGCCUCUCAAAAUUCUGGGAUUACAGGCGUGAGCCACCACUCCCGGCCCGUCAAUAUUACCUUGGAACACCCCGGCAAAGCCUUCAGGUGGAGAACGUUCCUGGCGCGGAAUAAUCCACCUGAAUGUGAAUCCUGACCAUUUUUAGGCGCCAGUGGAGGCCGCUGCUUUGGGACCGGCCGUGAGGUGGCGCUGUUGCCCUGUAUCGUGACUCCGUUUUCACCUGGACUGGAGUCUCCGCGAUACCUGGCAUCUAGCGAUCACUGUAGAUCAGCAACAAGUCCAGCUUUUACAGUUUCAGCAGAGGUUUCCUGUGGCUCGCGUGUGGCGAGUCCCGGAAACCUCGGAGCCCACAGACUUCCCUUCGCGGGAGCCCGCCCGAACUCCAUCCUUUGCCGGCAGCCACGCCCCGCAGUGGGAAGGAGGGACUGAAAAGCAUUUCCUUGAGGCUGGCACACCUUGCCCUAGCCAAGCCAGUCAUUAUUUCCCCUCUGACUGGGCCGGUCCCACCUGAAACCGGAGUGACCACAGGAGGGACACGGUAGUGAACGGGGCAUGGGGGGCGGGCGCGGCGGGGAGGGUAAAGAAGGUGGGAGGGGAAUGGCGCCGAGGCAGCCGGGGGUGGACUUUGCAGCUGGGGAGGGAGAAGAAGGGAAGAGGCUGGGAGCGGAACGGUUGUGAUUUGCUGUUUGUGUUUAUGUGAACAAACAGAAAUCACCAAGUGAAUUAACCUGUGUUUCUUCGGAACAAGCAUCUUGUGGGGUUUGGCUUCUGUGUUUUUAUACGGUAAGGGACUAAACCUGCCUCAGCAGAUUUGGUGCAGAGAAAAACAUGAGAAAACCCAGGAAUGGGGGACCUCUGUUUAUUCCUGGAGAGGGGGCCAUCAGGAGAGGGGCAGGGAAAGAAUGAGCUUACAGGAAUUACUUGUCAGAGGACUGCAUAGCCUUUCAGACCAUGGGCUCAUUGCUUUCAGCUUCAGCUUCUUCGACUGCAAAGCAUAAAUACGGGAAUUACUUUCCAGGGUUGUUGCGGUAUUUAAAUGAGAUAUCAAUCACCAUG